NNNNNNNNNNNNNNNNNNNNNNNNNNNNNNNNNNNNNNNNNNNNNCACACACACACACACACACACUCACAAUUGCACACACACGCUCACACACACUCGCUCACACUCACACUCCUGUCACACACACUCACUCUCUCACACACACACACAUUCCUGUCACUCACACUCUCUCGCUCGCUCUCUCACACACACUCACACUCUCACACACUUGUACACACUCACUCACGCUCACAUACGUACACAAAUGCUCGCUCACACUCUCACACACUCUCGCACAGACACUCACUCUCACUCACACACUCCUGUCACACACACUCUCUCUCUCACACACACACACAUACUCACACUUGCACACACACUAGCUCACACUCACACUCCUGUCACACACACUCACUCUCUCACACACACACACAUUCCUGUCACUCACACUCACUCUCUCACACACACACACACACAUGUCCACACUCUCACACACCUUCACACUCUCACACACUUGUACACACUCACUCACACUCACAUACGUACACACAUGCUCGCUCACACUCUCACAGACACUCACACUCUCACUCACACACACACACUCACACACUCCUGUCACUCACACUCUCUCUCUGUCUCUCACACACACUCACUCUCACGCACACUCGCUCACACUCACACACUCGCAGACACUCACAAUCGCACACUCUCGCACACACUGACACUCACACACACUUGCUCACACUCACUCACACACUCAAGCAGACACUCACUCACACACUCUCGCAAAAACUCACAUUCUCACACACUCUUGCACACACUGACACUCACGCAGACACUCACUCACACACACUUGCAGACACACACACACACACACGCAUACACUCAUGCACACACUUGCUCACACUCAUUCUCUCACACACACACACACACACACACUUGCUCACGCUCACUCUUACACACACACACACUCUCUCUCGCUCUCUCACACACACACACACACACUCUCUCUCUCUCUCUCACACUCUCUCUCUCUCUCUCACACACACACACACACACACACAGUGUUUCUGGAGAAAAAUCCAGCUCAGCUCAUGCGUCUCUCUCUCUCUGUGGAAGUAGGCCAUGUAA
rnacentral:lncRNA from 1 species